GUGAGGAAUAUUGCGCAAUGGAGGCAACUCUGACGCAGCCAUGCCGCGUGCAGGAAGAAGGCGCUACGCGUUGUAAACUGCUUUUAACCGGGAAGAAACCCCAGGACGUGUCCUGGGUUGACGGUACCGGAGGAAUAAGCACCGGCUAACUUCGUGCCAGCAGCCGCGGUAAUACGAAGGGUGCAAGCGUUAUCCGGAUUCAUUGGGUUUAAAGGGUGCGUAGGCGGAGCGUUAAGUCAGUGGUGAAAUCCUGCAGCUUAACUGUAGAAUUGCCAUUGAUACUGGCGCUCUUGAGUGCGCUUGAAGUGGGCGGAAUGUGCCGUGUAGCGGUGAAAUGCUUAGAUAUGGCACAGAACACCAAUUGCGAAGGCAGCUCACUAAGGCGAUACUGACGCUGAGGCACGAAAGCGUGGGGAUCGAACAGGAUUAGAAACCCGUGUAGUCC
rnacentral:rRNA from 1 species